rnacentral:rRNA from 1 species
CCUACGGGAGGCUGCAGUGGGGAAUAUUGCACAAUGGGGGAAACCCUGAUCCAGCGACGCCGCGUGAGCGAUGAAGUAUUUCGGUGUGUAAAGCUCUAUCGCCAGGGAAGAAAAUGACGGUACCUGACUAAAAAGCCCCGGCGAAAUACGUGCCAGAAGCCGCGGUAAUACGUAGGGGGCAAGCGUUAUCCGGAUUUACUGGGUGUAAAGGGAGCGUAGACGGCGGUGCAAGCCAGGUGUGAAAGCCUGGGGCUCAACCCCGGGACUGCAUUUGGAACUGUGCUGCUAGAGUGUCGGAGAGGCAGGCGGAAUUCCUAGUGUAGCGGUGAAAUGCGUAGAUAUUAGGAGGAACACCAGUGGCGAAGGCGGCCUGCUGGACGAUGACUGACGUUGAGGCUCGAAAGCGUGGGGAGCAAACAGGAUUAGAUACCCGGGUAGUC